UACGAAGGGUGCAAGCGUUACUCGGAAUUACUGGGCGUAAAGCGUGCGUAGGUGGUUCGUUAAGUCUGAUGUGAAAGCCCCGGGCUCAACCUGGGAAUGGCAUUUGGGACUGCAAGGCUUGAGUGCGGCAGAGGAGACUGGAAUUCCUGGUGUAGCAGUGAAAUGCGUAGAUAUCAGGAGGAAUACCGAUGGCGAAGGCAGGUCUCUGGGCUGACACUGACGCUCAUGCACGAAAGCGUGGGGAGCAAACAGG
rnacentral:rRNA from 1 species